rnacentral:rRNA from 1 species
CCUGACUGCUAUCGGAUUGAUACUAAGCCAUGCGAGUCAUUGUAGUAAUACAAGGCAGACGGCUCAGUAACGCGUAGUCAACCUAACCUAUGGACGGGAAUAACCUCGGGAAACUGAGUAUAAUGCCCGAUAGAACAUUAUGCCUGGAAUGGUUUAUGUUCCAAAUGAUUUAUCGCCGUAGGAUGGGACUGCGGCCUAUCAGUUUGUUGGUGAGGUAAUGGCCCACCAAGACUAUUACAGGUACGGGCUCUGAGAGGAGUAGCCCGGAGAUGGGUACUGAGACACGGACCCAGGCCCUAUGGGGCGCAGCAGGCGAGAAAACUUUGCAAUGUGCGAAAGCACGACAAGGUUAAUCCGAGUGGUUUCUGCUAAAGGAACCUUUUGUCGGUCCUAGAAACACCGAUGAAUAAGGGGUGGGCAAGUUCUGGUGUCAGCCGCCGCGGUAAAACCAGCACCUCAAGUGGUCAGGAUGAUUAUUGGGCCUAAAGCAUCCGUAGCCGGCUUUGUUAGUUUUCGGUUAAAUCUGUACGCUUAACGUACAGGCUGCCGGGAAUACUGCAGAGCUAGGGAGUGGGAGAGGUAGACGGUACUCGGUAGGAAGGGGUAAAAUCCUUUGAUCUAUUGAUGACCACCUGUGGCGAAGGCGGUCUACCAGAACACGUCCGACGGUGAGGGAUGAAAGCUGGGGGAGCAAACCGGAUUAGAUACCCGGGUAGUCCCAGCUGUAAACUAUGCAAACUCAGUGAUGCAUUGGCUUGUGGCCAAUGCAGUGUUGCAGGGAAGCCGUUAAGUUUGCCGCCUGGGAAGUACGUACGCAAGUAUGAAACUUAAAGGAAUUGGCGGGGGAGCACCACAAGGGGUGAAGCCUGCGGUUC